rnacentral:rRNA from 1 species
UACGAAGGGGGCUAGCGUUGCUCGGAAUCACUGGGCGUAAAGCGCACGUAGGCGGAUCUUUAAGUCAGGGGUGAAAUCCUGGAGCUCAACUCCAGAACUGCCUUGAUACUGGGGAUCUCGAGUCCGGAUAGGAGGUGAGGUGAACUCCGAGUGUAGAGGUGAAAUUCGUAGAUAUUCGGAAGAACACCAGUGGCGAAGGCGGCUCACUGGUCCGGUACUGACGCUGAGGUGCGAAAGCGUGGGGAGCAAACAGG